GAAACGGCAACUAAUACCGUAUACGCCCUACGGGGGAAAAAUUUAUUGCUAUUAUAUGAGCCUAUAUUAGAUUAGUUAGUUGGUGAGGUAAAGGCUUACCAAGACAAUGAUCUAUAGCUGAUCUGAGAGGAUGAUCAGCCACACUGGAACUGAGAUACGGUCCAGACUCCUACGGGAGGCAGCAGUGGGGAAUAUUGGACAAUGGGCGAAAGCCUGAUCCAGCCAUGCCGCAUGAGUGAAGAAGGCCUUCGGGUUGUAAAGCUCUUUUAGUGAGGAAGAUAAUGACGGUACUCACAGAAGAAGUCCUGGCUAACUCCGUGCCAGCAGCCGCGGUAAUACGGAGAGGGCUAGCGUUAUUCGGAAUCAUUGGGCGUAAAGGGCGCGUAGGCGGGUUAGUAAGUUAAAAGUGAAAUCCCAAGGCUCAACCUUGGAACUGCUUUUAAAACUGCUAGUCUAGAGAUUGAAAGAGGAUAGAGGAAUUCCUAGUGUAGAGGUGAAAUUCGUAAAUAUUUGGAGGAAUACCAGUGGCGAAGGCGUCUAUCUGGUUCAAAUCUGACGCUGAGGCGCGAAGGCGUGGGGAGCAAACAGGAUUAGAUACCCUGGUAGUCCACGCUGUAAACGAUGAAUGUUAAAUAUGGGAAGUUUACUUUCUGUAUUAUAGCUAACGCGUUAAACAUUCCGCCUGGGGACUACGGUCGCAAGAUUAAAACUCAAAGGAAUUGACGGGGACCCGCACAAGCGGUGGAGCAUGUGGUUUAAUUCGAUGCAACGCGAAAAACCUUACCACUCCUUGACAU
rnacentral:rRNA from 1 species